AAACUUAAGAGGUGUAAGAGGGUCAGAAACAGUGAGCACUGGAGAAACAGCAACAUGGGGGCCAGAUCUCAAUGUCCCCACAGGAUGUCUGUUUUGCAAGAGGCAAAGGACAGAGGAGAUCUUAGAUGCUUGAAAAGCACAGGAGGAUUCUGAGAAGUGUGGACAGACAGAGUUAUGAUGCUGCCAGAGGAGUAACACCAUGCCAGGCAUUACUGGCCAAUGAAGACCCACCUGACAGCAAUCCCUGGAUGCUCUGGAAAAGAAAUUGGGCCAUACCUCCUAGACUGCACUGGAUCCAACUUACUCCAUUUCAACUGACACUCCAACUAGAGCUUCGAGUCCUGACUUCAAUCAAGUUGAGGAUUUCAACCUAGAUCUUCAGUCAAACAAAUCCCGUCUAACAUGGACUGGAUAUAAUCCGUUGGAGACUUUCACUAUACUAACAUUUUCUUCCCAUAGGACCCCACAAGGCUACCAUCGUCCCAUUUCAGCAGGAAGUAAAUUGUAGGAUGCUACACCCCUGUUCCCCAUUAUUGUCUAUUAGGGUAGUGUAAGCCUAGUUAGGAAUAACUUUCCUAUUGUUUAGGGUUGGAAUUGGAAGGAGGUGUUCAAGUUCAGAUGACUUUAGGGUUUAGCUGAAAUAGACAUAGUUAGGAUGUGCAAUAACAGAUUAUUGUAUCUUCUUGUAUUUCACCUUUAUGAUUGUUAAUUUUGGAUAUUUUACACUAUUAAGUUUUAAUCCCCUUUUAGACUAAAAGGGGAAUUAUAGGGCGACACCGUAGCCACACUUCCUAAGGGCUGGCUACAGGUGUGCCUGACCACGCCUAUCAAGGCAUGGUCAAGGUGAGGUCAGGGUGACGUGGGAGGGCUUCUUAAGCAACCACAAGCCCACGGAACCAGCUCGUCCCCUUCGGCUGCCCCUUCUCUCUGGCCUCCCUGCCUUGCUGCCCCUGGGUACACUCUGG
rnacentral:lncRNA from 1 species